CUGUGUUUUUAUUAUUAUUUCAUUUAUCAAUCUCUCAAACCUAUCUAACCUCUCGGCGCACUCUCUAGGUCUCUAACCCUUUUCUCUUGCAGAUGUUUGGCACUAAAAGCUCGACGAAGACGAAGACAACGACGGGGCUCGAUAGCGCGAGGGAUUGACAAUAUGUCUCACUGCUUUCGUCCUUGCAGGUCCGACGGUGUGCGGGGUCGAGGUUGGGUGAACGGUAGUGCAUGAGGUCGGGAUGGUGUUCAUUCAACCCCUCGUUUGCGACAAUGGUACUGGAAUGGUGAAGGUUUGCAUUUCAAAUUUCGGCAUCGUCUGCGGUCACACGGGUUCAGAGGUUGGGAAAUCAAUUGCUUGGGUUCAUAGAUUGGGUUAAGAGAUUGAGUUCAGAGAAUGGGAAUGGUGAAGAUUCUUAUAUGGUUUUCACUUCUCUUUUAUUGAUGAAUCUGUUGUGGGGGAUUCGGUCCCUGGAAGUUCUCAUAGAUAGCAAGUUUUUGGAAUAGAGGAUUUUCUCUAGUUACCUCUGCUGCCAUUAUAUAGUGCAGAGUUGGCCUUCCCUUAGACAAGUACAUUCUAAGGUGGACAAGCUAAGCAUUUGACUCAACCCAAGGCUGAGAAGAAAGAGUAAGAUGAGCAUUUGACUCAGUUUGCAAGUGUUAUGCCUCGUAAUUUUUAUUUUAAUACUAUGCAAAUGUUAGAGGAGUUUGAAUAUUUUAAAUAUUCAUCUAUAGUGAAGUAGGUUAUGGGAUUGUUACUGUGUGCUGUGGUGAUAACAGAAGGUUGAGAACUUGCGUGUUUUAGUGAAAUAGGAUCUGAGAAAUUUGUGUGUUGCGGAGAUAAGAAAAAAAACUUGUGUGUUUGAAUUGAUAUUGGCAGAUGGUUGGUUGCUAGUAUGGGGAAAAUGUUGUUCGAUUUUAUGUAGAGUUGUCUAUGAUUAUUCUAUAAUUGAAUUGUGUUUGUUUGAUUGGUUUGAUUAUAACAUAUACUUGUAUGAAUGUACUUAUUGAUUGGUUAUAUUACAUUAAUAAUAACUUUUGGUUAUGGUUGUUAUUUUUUUAUGUAUUUUAUAUUUUAAUAAAAUUUACUUUUUGUACCUUGAUAACAAAAUAAUGAAAAAAUAUAUUAGAUUUACAAAAAUAUCAAUAUCAUCAUAUUAAGUAACUCGGUCCAAAUACAUAUUUCAUUAAAUAAGUGAACAAUUUUCAAAAAGUAAAUUUAUUAGAGAAUCAAAGUCAUCAUGGUAAACUUCUAGCUAAAAUUUGAAAAAACUUUCAUGUUUCUCUUAAAAAGUGAACAACGAAAUCUAAAGAUAUUAUGAUGCUUUGUUAUUUCCAUUUGCUUUGAAAUCCUAUUGUCAAGCCCAAAAAGUUUAUCAUGACCUUCUAUUUGAUUCCCUCUGUGGAAGGGUGGAAGGGUCAGAAAUGAAACAUCAACAACAUUAAAGCACUAUUAGUACUAAAUGUCAUAAUAUUAAACAAUGUAUAACUAAUAAACCCAACAAACUUGAUCUUAUAAUAUUCCCACUACAAAAAAAAAAGCAUGAAACUAUUCUGAAUGGUAUACAAAAAAAAUCACAUAAUUAUUGAAUAUGGCAUAACAGCAGCAACAUUUAAGUUAAAAGUUUAAGGAUACACCAAAAAGAAGGAAUAACUAAGUUUCUGACUCAAAUAAACCCAAAAACAAAAAGGGAAAAUACUAAUAGUCUCUACAUAACAGGAUAUGAUGAAGUCUCUAACAUGGAACUUAUGAAACUAAUCUGAAACUAUUUUGAUUUGAAUAAGUCAUAAUAUAUAUCAACAUAUAUGCUUACUCCUAUUUAAUCAUGACUUUCUACUAAAUAAUUAAUUUAGUUGAGAUUAUAUCCAUUAAAUAACAAGUUACUCAAAAGUUAUCAUGAACUCUGCAAGACUUGCCAUGCGAAUGCACACUCACCAUAUUCUGUGCUUGCAAUAAACCAUGAAAUAUGAUAUAUAUAUAUAUAUAUAUAUAUAUAUAAGCCACCAAAGAGAAAGCCCAAACAUAUAUAAUAUUCUCCAUGCAUCUCUUACAUCAGAAAAGUGACCAUAAGAAAACAGAAAACAUCAAGUAAUGGAGCAAAUUUCAGGCCCAAUGCAACAAAUGGUGCCUAGGCCUAGAGAAAACAUAGGCAGUACAUUCAUCCAAAGUUAUGGUACAUGGUUCCAAAUUUUAAUAAAUAAUAUAAGGUUUGCCAAUGUGAUUUCUCUUCUAUCCUAAUUUUCAUAGACAAAUAGAAUGUUAUAAGCUAAUACUCAUUAAGUGCGUGAAAUUCUAUGAUAUGUUUAUCCCAGGAUUCAACAACAUGCCAUAUUAACAAAUAUGAUCAAUGGAAACAAAUACCAUAAUAAUAAAAUAUAAAUUAAAGAUUCACCAUACAGGAGUACCCCUAGAUGCAUAUUAGCAUGCCUUGGUUCUUAACUAAGCCAUUGUUGUCUAUACUGGAAAGAACCUAAUUAAAUAGAGAAAAGAAUAAAAAACAAUACCAGAAAGAAAAGUAGGCAGUAGCAGGAUUGCUCAGUUGACUAUGAAGCUCAGUGUCUCUAUCAAAGAAAAAAUGAAACAAACUGUAAAGAAGAAUGAAAGUAAAUAGAACAGUUUAAAGCACUUCAUGAUUUCUUAGUUAAAAAAAUAGAAGUAUGAAUGUCAUCUGGAGUAGACUGAGAACUUAACGGCAAUGGAGACUGAGUAUUCUGCUAGAUGUAUGUGUGAUGGGUAGCGUGAAGAUAUUUGUAGAGGGAUGUCAUAUGUGUGAAGAUAACGGCAAUGUCAUAUGUGUGAUGUGUGAUGGGUACGUGAAGAUAUUUAAAUGACUUAUUGAAUCAGAAAUUACCAAAAAAAAUCAUUUUGCCACUUAUGAAAAAUAGCCAAAAUAUCAUCAUAAGUAUUACAAUGGCUUUGACAUGUAUUCAAACAACAAAAUGAUAGUAAGAAAGUAUGUUAAAUACUGAAAGAGGUAAUUUAUCAAACACUAUGCAAUCAAGUAAUCAGAAAAGAGAAACAAAACAACUGAACUACAAAUAUAUCAUCAAUCAAGUAUAUAUGAUACAAUUCAAUCUGCAUAAACUAUAAAGUAAGAAAACAGAGCAUAAAUAAUAGAGUAUAAACUAUUUCCACUAAAAUCAAAUCACAAUAAGCUUAAAUCAUAUUAAUACAUCUAAUUCAAAGUAAAAACUAUAAGCUAAAUGAAGAGCACAACAUUCAUAAAGAGAAACACAGCAACGAAUUGGAGAUUGAUACUUAGAAUGGUAGGCCCAACACUCAAAAUUAUUUAGAACUUAAUAUGGACAUAAUUAACCGACCCAAUAUCUAAAUCAAUAGCACUUAUUGAAAAAUGUCAUUUUUUAGUGGUAUAUAUAGUCUGAAAUGUUGUAGUGAUAUAUUUUAUAUUUGGUAUUCUAUGGCAUAUUUGUGUUGUGUUUACUCUGUUAGUGCUGAAGACUUUUGUUUAUUAUCUUGUUAUGUUAAUCAGCUUUAGGGUAUAUUUGUGUUUUGAAGUCGGUGCUUGUUGAUUUUAGUAUAUAUUAUGCAUAUAUAUUUUUUGUUGGAUACUUUGCCUAUGAUUUUGUUUUGUUUAUUCAGAUUUAGAAUAUAUAUGUGUACUAUUGUAAUUAAGUUCUUUUUUGUUAUUUAUUUUUUAUAUUAAUUGAUUUUAGAAUAUAUAUAUCUAUAUAAAAAUGUUUUUGUUGGAUAUUUCUUUCUGGUAUUAUUAUGUUUAAUUAUUUUUAUAUAUAUGUAUACUGUAAUUCACAAUAUCAUUGGUCUUCCAACCGUCUCAAACAUUGUUGGCAUUCUUACAAGGUCAGUUUUUGUUUAAUAAUCUCAAAGAGGGAUUAAUCAACUAAUUUUACAUAUUUAUAUUGUUGGUUCUCUCAUUCAUUCGUUAAUAUAUUAUGGUAAGAUAUACUAUUUAAUUAUAAUUUGAAGUCUUUAAUUCUUUGGUGCAGGGAAUAUCAUAGGACUGACUUUUAAGGUGGAUGUUUAGAUUUAUUCGGAAGAAUAUUGAUAAAAGAAACAUGAUUGAGUUUGCAGUGAUUUGGAGAAGAGAAUUAUGUUGUCUUGUUGAGAUUUGUUGUAUUAUAUAUUUUGAAGUUUAUGAAUUUAUAAUAUUAUAAUGAAUUUUUAUUGAGAAU